GAUGAAGAACGCAGCGAAAUGCGAUAAGUAGUGUGAAUUGCAGAAUUCAGUGAAUCAUCGAGUCUUUGAACGCACAUUGCGCCCCCUGGUAUUCCGGGGGGCAUGCCUGUCCGAGCGUCAUUGCUGCCCUCAAGCACGGCUUGUGUGUUGGGCCCCGUCCUCCGAUUCCGGGGGACGGGCCCGAAAGGCAGCGGCGGCACCGCGUCCGGUCCUCGAGCGUAUGGGGCUUUGUCACCCGCUCUGUAGGCCCGGCCGGCGCUUGCCGAUCAACCCAAAUUUUUAUCCAGGUUGACCUCGGAUCAGGUAGGGAUACCCGCUGAACUUAAGCAUAUCAAUAAGCGGAGGA
rnacentral:misc_RNA from 1 species